CGCGGGGUGGAGCAGUUGGNNCGGGCUCAUAACCCGAAGGUCGGUGGUUCAAGUCCGCCCCCCGCAACCA
rnacentral:tRNA from 1 species